GACGAACGCUGGCGGCGUGCUUAACACAUGCAAGUCGAACGGAAAGGCCCUGCUUUUGUGGGGUGCUCGAGUGGCGAACGGGUGAGUAACACGUGAGUAACCUGCCCUUGACUUUGGGAUAACUUCAGGAAACUGGGACUAAUACCGGAUAGGAGCUCCUGCUGCAUGGUGGGGGUUGGAAAGUUUCGGCGGCUGGGGAUGGACUCGCGGCUUAUCAGCUUGUUGGUGGGGUAGUGGCUUACCAAGGCUUUGACGGGUAGCCGGCCUGAGAGGGUGACCGGCCACAUUGGGACUGAGAUACGGCCCAGACUCCUACGGGAGGCAGCAGUGGGGAAUAUUGCACAAUGGGCGGAAGCCUGAUGCAGCAACGCCGCGUGCGGGAUGACGGCCUUCGGGUUGUAAACCGCUUUCGCCUGUGACGAAGCGUGAGUGACGGUAAUGGGUAAAGAAGCACCGGCUAACUACGUGCCAGCAGCCGCGGUGAUACGUAGGGUGCGAGCGUUGUCCGGAUUUAUUGGGCGUAAAGGGCUCGUAGGUGGUUGAUCGCGUCGGAAGUGUAAUCUUGGGGCUUAACCCUGAGCGUGCUUUCGAUACGGGUUGACUUGAGGAAGGUAGGGGAGAAUGGAAUUCCUGGUGGAGCGGUGGAAUGCGCAGAUAUCAGGAGGAACACCAGUGGCGAAGGCGGUUCUCUGGGCCUUUCCUGACGCUGAGGAGCGAAAGCGUGGGGAGCGAACAGGCUUAGAUACCCUGGUAGUCCACGCUGUAAACGGUGGGUACUAGGUGUGGGGUCCAUUCCACGGGUUCCGUGCCGUAGCAAACGCUUUAAGUACCCCGCCUGGGGAGUACGGCCGCAAGGCUAAAACUCAAAGGAAUUGACGGGGCCCCGCACAAGCGGCGGAGCAUGCGGAUUAAUUCGAUGCAACGCGUAGAACCUUACCUGGGUUUGACAUGGAUCGGGAGUGCUCAGAGAUGGGUGUGCCUCUUUUGGGGUCGGUUCACAGGUGGUGCAUGGCUGUCGUCAGCUCGUGUCGUGAGAUGUUGGGUUAAGUCCCGCAACGAGCGCAACCCUUGUUCACUGUUGCCAGCACGUUAUGGUGGGGACUCAGUGGAGACCGCCGGUGUCAACUCGGAGGAAGGUGGGGAUGACGUCAAGUCAUCGUGCCCCUUAUGUCCAGGGCUUCACGCAUGCUACAAUGGCUGGUACAGAGAGUGGCGAGCCUGUGAGGGUGAGCGAAUCUCGGAAAGCCGGUCUCAGUUCGGAUUGGGGUCUGCAACUCGACCUCAUGAAGUCGGAGUCGCUAGUAAUCGCAGAUCAGCAACGCUGCGGUGAAUACGUUCCCGGGGCU
rnacentral:rRNA from 1 species